UACGUAGGGUGCAAGCAUUAAUCGGAUUUAUUGGGCGUAAAGGGCGCGUAGGCGGCCCUUCAAGUCAGGUGUGAAAUUCCGGGGCUCAACCUCGGAGCGGCACUUGAAACUAAAGGGAUAGAGGGUAGGCGGAGAAAACGGAAUUCCACAAGUAGCGGUGAAAUGCGUAGAUAUGUGGAAGAACACCGGUGGCGAAGGCGGUUUUCUAGCUUAUUCCUGACGCUGAGGCGCGAAAGCAAGGGGAUCAAAC
rnacentral:rRNA from 1 species